AAUAAUUACAGUUUUGUACUAUUCACGUUCAAUGUUUGAUCGUUUAUUUUAUUUAUUUUUUUUAUGAUUAAUAUUUUUAUUACUAUUAGAUAAUAAAACAUGAAUAAUACUUUAUGUGUGACUAAAUAUUUUUAUUUUUUUACAAAAUUUUUAAAUAAGACGGACGGUCAAACGUUGAGCACGGAUAUCCACGGCUGCACUUAUU
rfam:Oryza nivara chromosome 3, whole genome shotgun sequence.